UCAAAUAUUGAGUAAGCCGGAAAACCAAAUCAUGAAAAAAGGUUUUAAAGAAGUUCACAGAAAUCUUGGAAGUUGUGUAACUGAAAAUGCUGACUUUCCGAAUAAAACCGAAUAAAAAUUCCUAAAGAAUCUAGGAGUUUAAUAAAAGGAGACAACUAAUAACCGUUACAUCCGAAGUGAAAGCUUCAGGGAGCAGCAGCAAAAUGUAGAUGUUCAGUCGGCGCAAAAGAAAGUUCCGACGGAACACGA